rnacentral:rRNA from 1 species
GAUGAACGCUAGCUACAGGCUUAACACAUGCAAGUCGAGGGGAAACGACAUCGAAAGCUUGCUUUCGAUGGGUGUCGACCGGCGCACGGGUGAGUAACGCGUAUCCAACCUGCCCACCACUUGGGGAUAACCUUGCGAAAGUAAGACUAAUACCCAAUGACGUCUCUAGAAGACAUCUGAAGGAGAUUAAAGAUUUAUCGGUGAUGGAUGGGGAUGCGUCUGAUUAGCUUGUUGGCGGGGUAACGGCCCACCAAGGCGACGAUCAGUAGGGGUUCUGAGAGGAAGGUCCCCCACAUUGGAACUGAGACACGGUCCAAACUCCUACGGGAGGCAGCAGUGAGGAAUAUUGGUCAAUGGACGAGAGUCUGAACCAGCCAAGUAGCGUGCAGGAUGACGGCCCUAUGGGUUGUAAACUGCUUUUAUAAGGGAAUAAAGUGAGCCUCGUGAGGCUUUUUGCAUGUACCUUAUGAAUAAGGACCGGCUAAUUCCGUGCCAGCAGCCG